rnacentral:rRNA from 1 species
GGAAUCCGCUAAGGAGUGUGUAACAACUCACCUGCCGAAUGAAUUAGCCCUGAAAAUGGAUGGCGCUGAAGCGGGCUGCCGACACCGUGCCGUCUGGGCGAGAAAGGCCCCAGAUGAGUAGGAGGGCGUGGCGGCCGUAUCGAAGCACGCGUGCAAACGCGUGUGGAACGGCCGCUAGUGCAGAUCUUGGUGGUAGUAGCAAGUAUUCAAGCGAGAUCCUUGAAGGGCGAAGCGGGGAAGGGUUCCACGCGAACAUUGAUUGGGCGUGGGUGAGUCGUUCCUAAGCCGAGUGGCGAUUGCUAAGUAGCGGCGAAAGGGAAGCGGGUUGAAAUUCCCGCACACGGAUGUGGACGCGGUGACGCGAGUGAUGGGGCGAAGACGCUGGCGACGGCGCUGGGCAGAGUUGUCUUUUCUGUUUGACCAGUUUGCGCGCGCGGUGUGGAAUCCGCUUGUCGGGAGAAACACGCGUGUGCGGGCAGAGCGCCGGGGCUUUUCCGGCGUCCAGCUCGCCGUCGACGGCCCUUGAAAAUUUGCCUGCUGAAAAUCUUUGAUUUGAAAUCCACGCCGUGGCGUACCGAUCACCGCAUCAGGUCCCCAAGGUGAACAGCCUCUGCUCAGUAUGAAUAAUGCAGGUAAGGGAAGUCGGCA